UUCAAUGUUUUCCAGCACCCAACAUAACUUGUAAGGAUUUGAGUGGUAAUGAAACACAUUUUACUGGAAGUGAAGUUGGUUUUCUCAAGCCCAUAUCUUGCCGAAAUGUGCUUGUUAAAGUUUUGCACUGUGGGAUUUUGCGGAAUUGGGAGCCUAAUUGAUUUCGUCCUUAUUUCAAUGCAGAUCGUCGGCCCUUCGGAUGGGAGUAGUUACAUUAUAGACUAUUAUGGAACCAGACUCACGAGACUCAGCGUUACUAAUGAGACAUUUAGAAAAACACAGUUGUAUCCAUGAGUGUUUGAAAGAGGAACAGAUUUGAGCCUCCCUGAUUUCAAUCAAGAGCCCUGUGUGUGGAAUUCCAGAUUUCCUUUUCCUUUAGUAUCACUUUAUGGGUUCUAGAUGAUGUUUGACAUGUGCUCAACCUUGAUUUGUUGAUUUAGUUAGAGUAUACUAUUCCUAGAUUUAUUUAAUAGUCUUUCUUAAAAUCAGUAUACUAUGUUUCGAGGGCUUCUGUCUCUAUGAGACAGCUAGUCUAUCACUUUGUUACUAUUGUAUUACUGUCAUGUCCUUUACACGUCACUUGUCAUUUUUAUUUGUGAAAAAUAAAAAGAUAACUUAUUCAC
rnacentral:lncRNA from 1 species